rnacentral:rRNA from 1 species
UACAGAGGGUGCGAGCGUUAAUCGGAAUUACUGGGCGUAAAGGGCGCGUAGGCGGUUAUAUAAGUUAGAUGUGAAAUCCCUGGGCUUAACCUAGGAACUGCAUCUAAUACUGUAUGACUAGAGUGUAGUAGAGGGUAGUGGAAUUUCCGGUGUAGCGGUGAAAUGCGUAGAUAUCGGAAGGAACACCAGUGGCGAAGGCGGCUACCUGGACUAACACUGACGCUGAGGCGCGAAAGCGUGGGGAUCAAACAGGAUUAGAUACCCUGGUAGUCCACGCUGUAAACGAUGAGAACUAGAUGUUGGUAGGCAUGACCUAUUAGUAUCGAAGCUAACGCGAUAAGUUCUCCGCCUGGGGAGUACGGCCGCAAGGCUAAAACUCAAAG